rnacentral:lncRNA from 1 species
CAAUUAAAAAAUAUCUUUCCUAUAAAUAAAACUGAAAAAUUUAAUUCCAGGUACAUGUCUUGCUCUUCAGGAACUCCUGUCCUGCUUAAGAAAAAUAAAACUUCCAUCUGAAGUGCAUUAAUAACUGUUGUGAAAUAAGAAGACCCUACAGUGACCUUACUGUUGGCUGAUUCCAGAGAGCCAACUCAUUAUUCUGAAUUGAAAUUUCUCCAUCUCCAAAAUCAGAGUGAUUUUUAUACACAAUUUCAUCAUUUUCCCAAAGAACUGACUGUUAUCAGAGGUCACAUGCUGAAAAUCACCUGUGUAGUUUCACGUGCUUUAUUUUAUUUUCAAAGAGAUUAUUAAGCAUUUCAAG